rnacentral:rRNA from 1 species
GAUGAACGCUGGCGGCGUGCUUAACACAUGCAAGUCGAACGAAGCACUUUAUUUUAUUUCCUUCGGGACUGAUUAUUUUGUGACUGAGUGGCGGACGGGUGAGUAACGCGUGGGUAACCUGCCUUGUACAGGGGGAUAACAGUUGGAAACGGCUGCUAAUACCGCAUAAGCGCACAGCAUCGCAUGAUGCAGUGUGAAAAACUCCGGUGGUAUAAGAUGGACCCGCGUUGGAUUAGCUAGUUGGUGAGGUAACGGCCCACCAAGGCGACGAUCCAUAGCCGAACUGAGAGGGUGACCGGCCACAUUGGGACUGAGACACGGCCCAAACUCCUACGGGAGGCAGCAGUGGGGAAUAUUGCACAAUGGGCGAAAGCCUGAUGCAGCGACGCCGCGUGAGCGAAGAAGUAUUUCGGUAUGUAAAGCUCUAUCAGCAGGGAAGAUAAUGACGGUACCUGACUAAGAAGCACCGGCUAAAUACGUG